rnacentral:lncRNA from 1 species
CGGCGGGCGGGGCGUGGCGCCUUUCCCGUGGUGCCGCGGGAGCGGCGGCCGCAGCGGCCGCGAUUUCGUCCGGGUCCCGCAAGUACCGGGACGGCGGGGCCGGGCGGCGGCCGGGGGACGCGGGAGCGGCCGCGGGGUCGGAGCGCGCCGGGGGGAGGGUGGAGGCGGAGGGACUGAGCCGAGGGGCCCGUACGGGCGGGUGCGGGGCCUCGGCCCGGCCUCUCCGCCGCCUUUGCCGCGGGCCCGGUUCAUUGUCCUUAUUCCCCUCAUCCAUGCCUUUUUCCCCUCGUUCUCCCCCGCUCUCCUCCAGGCUCACUGGAAGGUCCGGAAGUGCCGCCCCCGGGAGCCGUCGGCGCCAGGUGAGAAGUGACUCCUGUGGAACAUGACUGAGAGCAAGGCUGAGGCUGUUCUCAGAGCCUGAUGUAAUUACUGAUGGGUUCUUCGUUAGCUGCCCAGCACUGCCCCAAUUGCCUCUGUGCUGCAAGGAACAGGAUGCACAGACAGCACUGCAGCUCUUCGUAAGUUUAGAGCAAACCUCAUCAGACCAGUGGGAAAACCUACAGGUAAGUGAAAUAGGUGGAACAUUAGGCAUGAGAGUAACUAAGGAGUGUGAAGUAAGCAGAGUACAUGAGUAUCUGAGGGAUGCAAAGGCAGGAAAUAGGAUUCUUGUUUAAGGCUGGUAAAAGUUCCAGCUGACUGUCACACAGAGGUGCAAUGAAAUAUGUGCAACUCCUGUGCAGAGAGCUGAAGUGGGUGCAGCGCCAAGGAGCAGCUCUGGUGAGUUGUCCUUUGACAGGAACAGACUUAUUUAAACCUGGGUUCAGCUGAGUCAAGGGAAAUCCUUCCCUUAAUCUCAGGGCAGGAUUUCAUUUUGAACUCAGAAUAAUUCACAGAAUCUUAAGUAUCCCAAGCUGGAAAGGACCCCUAUGGAUUAUUGAGUCCUGCUCCUGGGUUUGCACAGGAGACUCCAAGAAUCCCAGCCUGUGCCUGAGGGUGUUGGCCAAACACUUGAUUGAAAUAAAGUGUACAAUUAACUCA